CAGCAGCCGGGUAACACCGAGGGUGCGAGCGUUAAUCGGAUUUACUGGGCGUAAAGCGUGCGUAGGCGGCUUUUUAAGUCGGAUGUGAAAUCCCUGAGCUUAACUUAGGAAUUGCAUUCGAUACUGGGAAGCUAGAGUAUGGGAGAGGAUGGUAGAAUUCCAGGUGUAGCGGUGAAAUGCGUAGAGAUCUGGAGGAAUACCGAUGGCGAAGGCAGCCAUCUGGCCUAAUACUGACGCUGAGGUACGAAAGCAUGGGGAGCAAACAGGAUUAGAGACCCGUGUAGUCCCUGUCUCUUAUACA
rnacentral:rRNA from 1 species